rnacentral:rRNA from 1 species
CUACGUGCCAGCAGCCGCGGUAAGACGUAGGACGCAAGCGUUAUCCGGAUUUACUGGGCGUAAAGCGCCUGUAGGCGGUCAAGUAAGUCGGAUGUGAAAGCCCCGUGCUCAACGCGGGGAAGCCAUUCGAUACUGCGUGACUAGAGAACGGCAGAGGGAAACGGAAUUUCUGGUGUAGCGGUAAAAUGCGCAGAGAUCAGAAAGAACACCGAUGGCGAAGGCAGUUUCCUAGGCCGCAUCUGACGCUGAGAGGCGAAAGCUAGGGGAGCAAACAGGAUUAGAGACCCUGGUAGUCCUAGCUGUAAACGAUGGAUGCUAGGUGUGGGCCGGAAAGGUCCGUGCCGUAGUUAACGCGAUAAGCAUCCCGCCUGGGGAGUACGGCCGCAAGGCUAAAACUCAAACGAAUUGACGGGGACCCGCACAAGCAGCGGAGCGUGUGGUUUAAUUCGAUGCUACACACAGAACCUUACCUGGGCUUGACAUGUAGGUGGUAGUGAAGUGAAAGCGGAGCGACCCUUCGGGGAGCCUACACAGGUGCUGCAUGGCUGUCGUCAGCUCGUGCCGUGAGGUGUCGGGUUAAGUCCCGUAACGAGCGCAACCCUUGUCCUUAGUUACAAGUGUCUAAGGAGACUGCCGGUGACAAACCGGAGGAAGGUGGGGAUGACGUCAAGUCAGCAUGGCCCUUAUGUCCAGGGCGACACACACGCCACAAUGGUCGGUACAAUGGGCAGCGCAGCCGCGAGGUGAAGCGAAUCCCAACAAAGCCGAUCCCAGUUCGGAUUGCAGGCUGCAACCCGCCUGCAGAAGCCGGAGUU